AACAUGGCUCUUUGAGAUUUAUAUAUAAAGAGUCGGGCCUGCCCAGUGAUGUAUUUUUAACGGCCGCGGUACUCUGACCGUGCGAAGGUAGCAUAAUCAUUUGCCCUAUAAUUGAGGGCUAGUAUGAAUGGUUUGACAUGAGCAUAACUGUCUCCUUAAAAUUUUAUAAAAUUUGGUUUUUAGGUGAAGAAACCUAAAUUAAAUUGAAAGACAAGAAGACCCUAUCGAGCUUUAGAAUAAUUAGUUAAAAAAUAUAAAUAAAACAAUUAAUUUUAAUUAAAAACUUUGGUUGGGGCGACUGAGGAACAUAUAAAGCUUCCUUAAUUAAACAAUGCUGAUAAGCAAUGAUCCAGGAAAUCUGAUUAAAAAAAUUAGUUACCGUAGGGAUAACAGCAUAAUCUUUUUUGAGAGCUCUUAUCGAAAAAAAGGUUUGUGACCUCGAUGUUGGACUAGGAUAUCCUAAAGAUGUAGAAGUCUUUAAUGGUUGCUCUGUUCGAGCAUAAAAAUCCUACGUGA
rnacentral:rRNA from 1 species